rnacentral:rRNA from 1 species
UACGGGAGGCAGCAGUAGGGAAUUUUGCGCAAUGGGGGAAACCCUGACGCAGCAACGCCGCGUGAUUGAAUAAGCCCUUCGGGGUGUAAAGAUCUGUCAGUGGGGACGAAACUUGACGGUACCCACAGAGGAAGCAUCGGCUAACUCCGUGCCAGCAGCCGCGGUAAU